UACAUGUGGGGCAAGCGUUGUUCGGAAUUACUGGGCAUAAAGAGCUCGUAGGCGGCUUGUCACGUCGGAUGUGAAAGCCCGAGGCUUAACCUCGGGUCUGCAUUCGAUACGGGCUAGCUAGAGUGUGGUAGGGGAGAUCGGAAUUCCUGGUGUAGCGGUGAAAUGCGCAGAUAUCAGGAGGAACACCGGUGGCGAAGGCGGAUCUCUGGGCCAUUACUGACGCUGAGGAGCGAAAGCGUGGGGAGCGAACAGG
rnacentral:rRNA from 1 species